rnacentral:rRNA from 1 species
ACACAUGCAAGUCGAACGAGAGAUGAGGAGCUUGCUCUUCAAAUCGAGUGGCGAACGGGUGAGUAACGCGUGAGGAACCUGCCUCAAAGAGGGGGACAACAGUUGGAAACGACUGCUAAUACCGCAUAAGCCCACGGCUCGGCAUCGAGCAGAGGGAAAAGGAGCAAUCCGCUUUGAGAUGGCCUCGCGUCCGAUUAGCUAGUUGGUGAGGUAAUGGCCCACCAAGGCGACGAUCGGUAGCCGGACUGAGAGGUUGAACGGCCACAUUGGGACUGAGACACGGCCCAGACUCCUACGGGAGGCAGCAGUGGGGAAUAUUGCACAAUGGGGGAAACCCUGAUGCAGCGACGCCGCGUGGAGGAAGAAGGUCUUCGGAUUGUAAACUCCUGUUGUUGAGGAAGAUAAUGACGGUACUCAACAAGGAAGUGACGGCUAACUACGUGCCAGCAGCCGCGGUAAAACGUAGGUCACAAGCGUUGUCCGGAAUUACUGGGUGUAAAGGGAGCGCAGGCGGGAGAACAAGUUGGAAGUGAAAUCCAUGGGCUCAACCCAUGAACUGCUUUCAAAACUGUUUUUCUUGAGUAGUGCAGAGGUAGGCGGAAUUCCCGGUGUAGCGGUGGAAUGCGUAGAUAUCGGGAGGAACACCAGUGGCGAAGGCGGCCUACUGGGCACCAACUGACGCUGAGGCUCGAAAGUGUGGGUAGCAAACAGGAUUAGAUACCCUGGUAGUCCACACCGUAAACGAUGAUUACUAGGUGUUGGGGG